UGGUGGAGUGAUUUGUCAGGUUUAUUCCGUUAACGAACGAGACCUCCGCCUGCUAAAUAGUUGAGCAGGCCGUUAGUUGGUGAUAUUGGAUUGCGUUUGAGUGGAAACGCUUGAAUGAGGUCUAAAGGAUCUUUGACGAGCUUGUCUCAAUCUUCUUAGAGGGACUGCUCACGAUAAAUUAAAAGUGGGCGGAAGUUGGAGGCAAUAACA
rnacentral:rRNA from 1 species